UAUGGCCACAUCGCAGUGAAACUCCAGUUCUUGUAUGAGCAUCGAUGUUAAGCAAUGUCAAGCCUGGUCAGUACCUAGAUGGGUGACUGUUUGGGAAUAGUAAGUGCUGCAAGC